ensembl:snoRNA SNORA62 Small nucleolar RNA SNORA62/SNORA6 family
UCUGCACAUUGUUAGAGCUUGGAGUUGAGCCCUCUGGCUGGCCGAUGAGCACAUAUAUGUAGGUAGUGUGCUACAUGAGGGGCAAUUUUUUUGCUUAACACCACAGGAUUCUCUGGCCCAGUGAGUGGAGUUUGAUAGUAAUACUUGCUACGAGU